rnacentral:rRNA from 1 species
UACGGGGGGGGCAAGCGUUGUUCGGAAUUACUGGGCGUAAAGGGCUCGUAGGCGGCCAACUAAGUCGGAUGUGAAAUCCCCAGGCUACAGUGGAACUGCAUCCGAUACUGGAUGGCUUGAAUCCGGGAGAGGGAUGCAGAAUUCCAGGUGUAGCGGUGAAAUGCGUAGAUAUCUGGAGGAAUACCGGUGGCGAAGGCGGCAUCCUGGACCGGCAUUGACGCUGAGGAGCGAAAGCUAGGGGAGCAAACGGGG